rnacentral:misc_RNA from 1 species
AAGACUAUAGACCUGCGGAGUACCUGCGGAGGGAUCAUUACAUGGCGGAGAAGGUGGGCAACCUGGCCAACAUCCAGGUUGUGAUGCCUUCACGCUCUUCCACCCUUGUCUAUUUGCACCUUCUGUCGUUCCCUCGGCGGGUUUCGACCCGCCGGCGGCAACAUUGAAAAACCCUUUUUGCAGUUAGCAUUCAAUUCUUCUGAUCAAAUAUUAAAUCAUUACAACUUUCAACAAUGGAUC